rnacentral:rRNA from 1 species
AUGGGGCCCCAGCAGGACCGGUCGGCGUCCAAGGCGCUCGCCAACGGCACGGCGGUGGCGCCCGAGAGGAAGGACGGCAAGGUGGUGCACUACAAGGAGUGCCAGCGCAACCACGCCGCCGGCAUCGGCGGGUACGCCGUGGACGGCUGCCGCGAGUUCAUGGCGUCCGCCCCCGCGGGCGCCGAGGCGCUCCUCUGCGCGGCGUGCGGCUGCCACCGCAGCUUCCACAAGCGCGAGGUGGAGGCCGUCGACUGCGACUGCUCCUCCGACACCUCCGGCCGGUGA